rnacentral:rRNA from 1 species
GACGAACGCUGGCGGCGUGCUUAACACAUGCAAGUCGAACGGAAAGGCCCUGCUCUUGUGGGGUGCUCGAGUGGCGAACGGGUGAGUAACACGUGAGUAACCUGCCCUUGACUUUGGGAUAACUUCAGGAAACUGGGGCUAAUACCGGAUAGGAGCUCCUGCUGCAUGGUGGGGGUUGGAAAGUUUCGGCGGUUGGGGAUGGACUCGCGGCUUAUCAGCUUGUUGGUGGGGUAGUGGCUUACCAAGGCUUUGACGGGUAGCCGGCCUGAGAGGGUGACCGGCGACAAUGGGACUGAGGUACGGCGCAGACGCCUACGGGAGGCAGCGGUGGGGAGUAUGGCACAAUGGGCGGGAGCCAGAGGCGGCAACGCCGGGUGCGGGAUGACGGCUUUCGGGUUGUAAACCGCUUUCGCCUGUGACGAAGCGUGAGUGACGGUAAUGGGUAAAGAAGCACCGGCUAACUACGUG